rnacentral:rRNA from 1 species
UACGUAGGGUGCAAGCGUUGUCCGGAAUUAUUGGGCGUAAAGAGCUCGUAGGCGGUUUGUCGCGUCUGCUGUGAAAACCCGAGGCUCAACCUCGGGCCUGCAGUGGGUACGGGCAGACUAGAGUGCGGUAGGGGAGAUUGGAAUUCCUGGUGUAGCGGUGAAAUGCGCAGAUAUCAGGAGGAACACCGAUGGCGAAGGCACUUUACUGGGCUAUUACUAACACUGAGAGACGAAAGCUAGGGUAGCAAAUGGG